rnacentral:rRNA from 1 species
AUUGAACGCUGGCGGCAGGCCUAACACAUGCAAGUCGAAUGGUAACAGGAAACAGCUUGCUGUUUCGCUGACGAGUGGCGGACGGGUGAGUAAUGUCUGGGAAACUGCCUGAUGGAGGGGGAUAACUACUGGAAACGGUAGCUAAUAUCGCAUAACGUCGCAAGACCAAAGAGGGGGACCUUCGGGCCUCUUGCCAUCAGAUGUGCCCAGAUGGGAUUAGCUAGUAGGUGGGGUAACGGCUCACCUAGGCGACGAUCCCUAGCUGGUCUGAGAGGAUGACCAGCCACACUGGAACUGAGACACGGUCCAGACUCCUACGGGAGGCAGCAGUGGGGAAUAUUGCACAAUGGGCGCAAGCCUGAUGCAGCCAUGCCGCGUGUAUGAAGAAGGCCUUCGGGUUGUAAAGUACUUUCAGCGGGGAGGAAGGGAGUAAAGUUAAUACCUUUGCUCAUUGACGUUACCCGCAGAAGAAGCACCGGCUAACUCCGUG